GAGGGUAUAGCUCAGUGGUAGAGCACAUGCUUAGCAUGCAGGAGGUCCUGGGUUCAAUCCCCAGUACUUCCC
rnacentral:tRNA from 1 species